rnacentral:rRNA from 1 species
CAAAAACAUCCGGCUUCCCCCGCUCUUUGGUGACUUUGAAUAACUCCUCCGACCACACUGUCUAACACAGGUGACGUAUCUUUCAUUCGUCGACCAAAUCAACUUUCGAUGCUACUUUAUGUGCCUACCAUGGUUGUAACGGGUAACCGAGAAUCCGGGUUCGACUCCGGAGAGGGAACCUGAGAAACCGCUACCACUUCUAAGGAAGGCAGCAGGGGCGCAAAUUACCCAUUCCCCUAUGAGGAGGUAGUGACUACAAACACCGAGGCGAUGCCCAUUCGGGUGUCGUCAUUGCAAUGAGAAAAAUUUAAAUCUUUUAACGAGGAUCUAUCGGAGGGCAAGUCUGGUGCC